rnacentral:rRNA from 1 species
UACGAAGGGGGCUAGCGUUGCUCGGAUUGACUGGGCGUAAAGGGCGCGUAGGCGGUUCGUACAGUCAGACGUGAAAUUCCUGGGCUCAACCUGGGGGCUGCGUUUGAUACGUGCGGACUCGAGUCCGGAAGAGGGUCGUGGAAUUCCCAGUGUAGAGGUGAAAUUCGUAGAUAUUGGGAAGAACACCGGUGGCGAAGGCGGCGACCUGGUCCGGUACUGACGCUGAGGCGCGAAAGCGUGGGGAGCAAACAGG